GUCAGGAUGGCCAAGCGGUCAAAGGUGCCAGACUCAAGGCUUUAUUCGUUACUCGCUUCAGAGGUUUCUGGUCUUUGAAAGGAGGUGUGGGUUCAAAGCCCACUCCUGAUA